GGUCUAUGGGUCUGUUGGGUAUUGCCCUGUAUGGCAGCCUGCUGCUCUCUGUUCUAGCUGCUGGCACUUAAGGACCCUCCACAACCAUGCUACCUAGACCUGAGGGCCCUGCUCCAGAGGCGACCUGCUGGCUGGCCUGGAGAAAGCAGGACACAAUGGAACGCUUUAAGAAUUGUGGAAUGCUGUGAAGAGCCCAGCUGCCUCAUAGAUAGAAAAAAAAAAGAUUUGGGACUAUUUUCAGCUGAAGCGUAUACGACGUCCAUAAAAGAGUCUUCACAUCUUUCACAAUGAAUCCUGUUUAUAGCCCCGUUCAACCUGGGGCUCCUUACGGAAACCCGAAAAACAUGGCCUACACAGGU